CAUCACCACCUCGGUGGCAUAUUUUCAUUUCCAUAAACUACUAUAAAAGAAAAGCCAGUACCUACACAAGCGUGCAGUUGGUCUGGUGGUAUGGAAUGCCCACCACAAACAUGUGGUCUUGGGUUUCAUUCCUAUGGAGUCACUUUUUAUUGCAAUAUUUUUAUCAACUUUUCCACCAGAGUGUUCUUGGAGUAAAAACACUAACAACUUUACAAACAACUUUUUUU
rnacentral:lncRNA from 1 species